rnacentral:tRNA from 1 species
GGUGCUGUGGCUUAGUUGGUUUAAGCGUCUGUCUUGUAAACAGAAGAUCCCGAGUUCAACUCUCAGCAGUGCUU